rnacentral:rRNA from 1 species
GGGUUGUGAGGUUAAGCGACUAAGCGUACACGGUGGAUGCCCUGGCAGUCAGAGGCGAUGAAGGACGUGCUAAUCUGCGAAAAGCGCCGGCGAGGUGAUAUGAACCCUUGACCCGGCGAUGUCCGAAUGGGGAAACCCAGUGUGUUCCGACACACUAUCGUUAACUGAAUACAUAGGUUAACGAGGCGAACCGGGGGAACUGAAACAUCUAAGUACCCCGAGGAAAAGAAAUCAACCGAGAUUCCCCCAGUAGCGGCGAGCGAACGGGGAGCAGCCCGGAGUCUGAAUCAGCUUGUGUGUUAGUGGAACGGUCUGGAAAGUCCGACGGUACAGGGUGAUAGUCCCGUACACGAAAACACACUUGCUGUGAACUCGAAGAGUAGGGCGGGACACGUGGUAUCCUGUCUGAAUAUGGGGGGACCAUCCUCCAAGGCUAAAUACUCCUGACUGACCGAUAGUGAACCAGUACCGUGAGGGAAAGGCGAAAAGAACCCCGGCGAGGGGAGUGAAAAAGAACCUGAAACCGUGUACGUACAAGCAGUGGGAGCACCUUCGUGGUGUGACUGCGUACCUUUUGUAUAAUGGGUCAGCGACUUAUAUUCUGUAGCAAGGUUAACCGUAUAGGGGAGCCGAAGGGAAACCGAGUCUUAACUGGGCGUUAAGUUGCAGGGUAUAGACCCGAAACCCGGUGAUCUAGCCAUGGGCAGGUUGAAGGUUGGGUAACACUAACUGGAGGACCGAACCGACUAAUGUUGAAAAAUUAGCGGAUGACCUGUGGCUGGGGGUGAAAGGCCAAUCAAACCGGGAGAUAGCUGGUUCUCCCCGAAAGCUAUUUAGGUAGCGCCUCGUGAACUCAUCUUCGGGGGUAGAGCACUGUUUCGGCUAGGGGGCCAUCCCGGCUUACCAACCCGAUGCAAACUACGAAUACCGAAGAAUGUUAUCACGGGAGACACACGGCGGGUGCUAACGUCCGUCGUGAAGAGGGAAACAACCCAGACCGCCAGCUAAGGUCCCAAAGUCAUGGUUAAGUGGGAAACGAUGUGGGAAGGCACAGACAGCCAGGAUGUUGGCUUAGAAGCAGCCAUCAUUUAAAGAAAGCGUAAUAGCUCACUGGUCGAGUCGGCCUGCGCGGAAGAUGUAACGGGGCUAAACCAUGCACCGAAGCUGCGGCAGCGACACUAUGUGUUGUUGGGUAGGGGAGCGUUCUGUAAGCCGUUGAAGGUGUGCUGUGAGGCAUGCUGGAGGUAUCAGAAGUGCGAAUGCUGACAUAAGUAACGAUAAAGCGGGUGAAAAGCCCGCUCGCCGGAAGACCAAGGGUUCCUGUCCAACGUUAAUCGGGGCAGGGUGAGUCGACCCCUAAGGCGAGGCCGAAAGGCGUAGUCGAUGGGAAACAGGUUAAUAUUCCUGUACUUGGUGUUACUGCGAAGGGGGGACGGAGAAGGCUAUGUCAGCCGGGCGACGGUUGUCCCGGUUUAAGCAUGUAGGCGGAGGUUCCAGGUAAAUCCGGUACCUUUUAACGCUGAGGUGUGAUGACGAGGCACUACGGUGCUGAAGUGAUAAAUGCCCUGCUUCCAGGAAAAGCCUCUAAGCAUCAGGUAACACGAAAUCGUACCCCAAACCGACACAGGUGGUCAGGUAGAGAAUACCAAGGCGCUUGAGAGAACUCGGGUGAAGGAACUAGGCAAAAUGGUGCCGUAACUUCGGGAGAAGGCACGCUGAUAUGUAGGUGAAGUCCCUGCGGACGGAGCUGAAAUCAGUCGAAGAUACCAGCUGGCUGCAACUGUUUAUUAAAAACACAGCACUGUGCAAACACGAAAGUGGACGUAUACGGUGUGACGCCUGCCCGGUGCCGGAAGGUUAAUUGAUGGGGUUAGCGGCAACGCGAAGCUCUUGAUCGAAGCCCCGGUAAACGGCGGCCGUAACUAUAACGGUCCUAAGGUAGCGAAAUUCCUUGUCGGGUAAGUUCCGACCUGCACGAAUGGCGUAAUGAUGGCCAGGCUGUCUCCACCCGAGACUCAGUGAAAUUGAACUCGCUGUGAAGAUGCAGUGUACCCGCGGCAAGACGGAAAGACCCCGUGAACCUUUACUAUAGCUUGACACUGAACACUGGUCCUUGAUGUGUAGGAUAGGUGGGAGGCUUUGAAGCGUGGACGCCAGUCUGCGUGGAGCCAUCCUUGAAAUACCACCCUUUAAUGGCUGGUGUUCUAACGUAGACCCGUGAUCCGGGUUGCGGACAGUGUCUGGUGGGUAGUUUGACUGGGGCGGUCUCCUCCCAAAGAGUAACGGAGGAGCACGAAGGUUGGCUAAUCCUGGUCGGACAUCAGGAGGUUAGUGCAAUGGCAUAAGCCAGCUUGACUGCGAGCGUGACGGCGCGAGCAGGUGCGAAAGCAGGUCAUAGUGAUCCGGUGGUUCUGAAUGGAAGGGCCAUCGCUCAACGGAUAAAAGGUACUCCGGGGAUAACAGGCUGAUACCGCCCAAGAGUUCAUAUCGACGGCGGUGUUUGGCACCUCGAUGUCGGCUCAUCACAUCCUGGGGCUGAAGUAGGUCCCAAGGGUAUGGCUGUUCGCCAUUUAAAGUGGUACGCGAGCUGGGUUUAGAACGUCGUGAGACAGUUCGGUCCCUAUCUGCCGUGGGCGCUGGAGAAUUGAGGGGGGCUGCUCCUAGUACGAGAGGACCGGAGUGGACGCAUCACUGGUGUUCGGGUUGUCAUGCCAAUGGCACUGCCCGGUAGCUAAAUGCGGAAGAGAUAAGUGCUGAAAGCAUCUAAGCACGAAACUUGCCCCGAGAUGAGUUCUCCCUGAGACUUUAAGUCUCCUGAAGGAACGUUGAAGACGACGACGUUGAUAGGUCGGGUGUGUAAGCGCAGCGAUGCGUUGAGCUAACCGAUACUAAUGAACCGUGAGGCUUAACCUUACAACGCCGAAGGUGUUU